rnacentral:rRNA from 1 species
AGAGUUUGAUCCUGGCUCAGGAUGAACGCUGGCGGCGUGCCUAACACAUGCAAGUCGAGCGAUUCUUUAUGAAGUACUUGUACUACAUAAAGAGUAGCGGCGGACGGGUGAGUAACGCGUGGGUAACCUGCCCUAAACAACGGGAUAGCCCUCCGAAAGGAGGAGUAAUACCAUAUAACACAUUUUUAAGGCAUCUUAAAAAUGUCAAAGAUUUAUCGGUUUAGGAUGGACCCGCGUCUGAUUAGCUAGUUGGUAAGGUAAAAGCUUACUAAGGCGAUGAUCAGUAGCCGACCUGAGAGGGUGAUCGGCCACACUGGAACUGAGACACGGUCCAGACUCCUACGGGAGGCAGCAGUGGGGAAUAUUGCACAAUGGGGGAAACCCUGAUGCAGCAACGCCGCGUGAGCGACGAAGGCUUUCGAGUCGUAAAGCUCUGUCCUAAGUGAAGAUAAUGACGGUAACUUAGGAGGAAGCCCCGGCUAACUACGUGCCAGCAGCCGCGGUAAUACGUAGGGGGCAAGCGUUAUCCGGAAUCAUUGGGCGUAAAGGGUGAGUAGGCGGCAAUAUAAGUCAGAGGUGAAAGGCUACGGCUUAACCGUAGUAAGCCUUUGAAACUGUAUAGCUUGAGUAUGGGAGAGGAGAGUGGAAUUCCUAGUGUAGCGGUGAAAUGCGUAGAUAUUAGGAGGAACACCAGUGGCGAAGGCGACUCUCUGGACCAUAACUGACGCUGAGUCACGAAAGCGUGGGGAGCAAACAGGGUUAGAUACCCUGGUAGUCCACGCCGUAAACGAUGAGUGCUAGGUGUUGGGGGUCAAACCUCAGUGCCGCAGCUAACGCAUUAAGCACUCCGCCUGGGGAGUACGAUCGCAAGAUUGAAACUCAAAGGAAUUGACGGGGACCCGCACAAGCAGCGGAGCAUGUGGUUUAAUUCGAAGCAACGCGAAGAACCUUACCUGGACUUGACAUCCCUAUGAAAGUGCCUUAGCCGGCAUGCUCUCUUCGGAGACAAAGGAGACAGGUGGUGCAUGGUUGUCGUCAGCUCGUGUCGUGAGAUGUUGGGUUAAGUCCCGCAACGAGCGCAACCCUUGCCUUUAGUUGCCAACAGGUAAAGCUGGGAACUCUAGAGGGACUGCCGGGGAUAACUCGGAGGAAGGUGGGGAUGACGUCAAAUCAUCAUGCCCCUUAUGUUCAGGGCUACACACGUGCUACAAUGGUCGAUACAAAGGGAAGCGACAGAGCAAUCUCAAGCAAAUCCCAUAAAGUCGAUCCCAGUUCGGAUUGCGGGCUGAAACUCGCCCGCACGAAGUUGGAGUUGCUAGUAAUCGCGAAUCAGAAUGUCGCGGUGAAUGCGUUCCCGGGUCUUGUACACACCGCCCGUCACACCACGGAAGUCGGAUGCACCCGAAGCCAGUUAAUAAAAACUGUCGAAGGUGAAAUCGAUGACUGGGGUGAAGUCGUAACAAGGUAACC